rnacentral:rRNA from 1 species
ACGGGAGGCAGCAGUGGGGAAUAUUGCACAAUGGGGGAAACCCUGAUGCAGCGACGCCGCGUGAGUGAAGAAGUAUUUCGGUAUGUAAGGCUCUAUCAGCAGGGAAGAAAAUGACGGUACCUGACUAAGAAGCACCGGCUAAAUACGUGCCAGCAGCCGCGGUAAUACGUAUGGUGCAAGCGUUAUCCGGAUUUACUGGGUGUAAAGGGAGCGUAGACGGCGAGGCAAGUCUGAAGUGAAAUGCGGGGGCUCAACCCCUGAACUGCUUUGGAAACUGUUUUGCUAGAGUGCAGGAGAGGUAAGUGGAAUUCCUAGUGUAGCGGUGAAAUGCGUAGAUAUUAGGAGGAACACCGGCGGCGAAGGCGGCUUACUGGACUGUAACUGACGUUGAGGCUCGAAAGCGUGGGGAGCAAACAGGAUUAGAUACCCUGGUA